rnacentral:rRNA from 1 species
CAGGCUUAACACAUGCAAGUCGAGGGGCAGCAUGGUCUUAGCUUGCUAAGGCCGAUGGCGACCGGCGCACGGGUGAGUAACACGUAUCCAACCUGCCGUCUACUCUUGGACAGCCUUCUGAAAGGAAGAUUAAUACAAGAUGGCAUCAUGAGUCCACAUGUUCACAUGAUUAAAGGUAUUCCGGUAGACGAUGGGGAUGCGUUCCAUUAGAUAGUAGGCGGGGUAACGGCCCACCUAGUCUUCGAUGGAUAGGGGUUCUGAGAGGAAGGUCCCCCACAUUGGAACUGAGACACGGUCCAAACUCCUACGGGAGGCAGCAGUGAGGAAUAUUGGUCAAUGGGCGAGAGCCUGAACCAGCCAAGUAGCGUGAAGGAUGACUGCCCUAUGGGUUGUAAACUUCUUUUAUAAAGGAAUAAAGUCGGGUAUGCAUACCCGUUUGCAUGUACUUUAUGAAUAAGGAUCGGCUAACUCCGUGCCAGCAGCCGCGGUAAUACGGAGGAUCCGAGCGUUAUCCGGAUUUAUUGGGUUUAAAGGGAGCGUAGAUGGAUGUUUAAGUCAGUUGUGAAAGUUUGCGGCUCAACCGUAAAAUUGCAGUUGAUACUGGAUAUCUUGAGUGCAGUUGAGGCAGGCGGAAUUCGUGGUGUAGCGGUGAAAUGCUUAGAUAUCACGAAGAACUCCGAUUGCGAAGGCAGCCUGCUAAGCUGCAACUGACAUUGAGGCUCGAAAGUGUGGGUAUCAAACAGGAUUAGAUACCCUGGUAGUCCACACGGUAAACGAUGAAUACUCGCUGUUUGCGAUAUACUGCAAGCGGCCAAGCGAAAGCGUUAAGUAUUCCACCUGGGGAGUACGCCGGCAGCGGUGAAACUCAAAGGAAUUGACGGGGGCCCGCACAAGCGGAGGAACAUGUGGUUUAAUUCGAUGAUACGCGAGGAACCUUACCCGGGCUUAAAUUGCAGAUGAAUUACGGUGAAAGCCGUAAGCCGCAAGGCAUCUGUGAAGGUGCUGCAUGGUUGUCGUCAGCUCGUGCCGUGAGGUGUCGGCUUAAGUGCCAUAACGAGCGCAACCCUUGUUGUCAGUUACUAACAGGUUCUGCUGAGGACUCUGACAAGACUGCCAUCGUAAGAUGUGAGGAAGGUGGGGAUGACGUCAAAUCAGCACGGCUCUUACGUCCGGGGCUACACACGUGUUACAAUGGGGGGUACAGAGGGCCGCUACCACGCGAGUGGAUGCCAAUCCCAAAAACCUCUCUCAGUUCGGACUGGAGUCUGCAACCCGACUCCACGAAGCUGGAUUCGCUAGUAAUCGCGCAUCAGCCACGGCGCGGUGAAUACGUUCCCGGGCCUUGUACACACCGCCCGUCAAGCCAUGGGAGCCGGGGGUACCUGAAGUGCGUAACCGCGAGGAGCGCCCUAGGGUAAAACUGGUGACUGGGGCUAAGUCAUAAC